AUGGAGCCGACCUUGAAAUACCACCCUUUAAUGUUUGAUGUUCUAACGUUGACCCGUAAUCCGGGUUGCGGACAGUGUCUGGUGGGUAGUUUGACUGGGGCGGUCUCCUCCUAAAGAGUAACGGAGGAGCACGAAGGUUGGCUAAUCCUGGUCGGACAUCAGGAGGUUAGUGCAAUGGCAUAAGCCAGCUUGACUGCGAGCGUGACGGCGCGAGCAGGUGCGAAAGCAGGUCAUAGUGAUCCGGUGGUUCUGAAUGGAAGGGCCAUCGCUCAACGGAUAAAAGGUACUCCGGGGAUAACAGGCUGAUACCGCCCAAGAGUUCAUAUCGACGGCGGUGUUUGGCACCUCGAUGUCGGCUCAUCACAUCCUGGGGCUGAAGUAGGUCCCAAGGGUAUGGCUGUUCGCCAUUUAAAGUGGUACGCGAGCUGGGUUUAGAACGUCGUGAGACAGUUCGGUCCCUAUCUGCCGUGGGCGCUGGAGAACUGAGGGGGGCUGCUCCUAGUACGAGAGGACCGGAGUGGACGCAUCACUGGUGUUCGGGUUGUCAUGCCAAUGGCACUGCCCGGUAGCUAAAUGCGGAAGAGAUAAGUGCUGAAAGCAUCUAAGCACGAAACUUGCCCCGAGAUGAGUUCUCCCUGACCCUUUAAGGGUCCUGAAGGAACGUUGAAGACGACGACGUUGAUAGGCCGGGUGUGUAAGCGCAGCGAUGCGUUGAGCUAACCGGUACUAAUGAACCGUGAGGCUUAACCUUACAAC
rnacentral:rRNA from 1 species